UCCCUGGAGGACUAGUGGUUAGGUAUCGGUGUGCUCACUGCUGCAGCCCGGGUUCGAUUCCUGGCCAGGGAA